UCACCUUCGAACUUACAGCAAAAAGCAGAGCUCCAUCAACCUACCAGACUCAAACCGCUCUGCUCGCCGUCCUAGCCUCUGCUCCUGGAACUCAGGAAACCCCAGAGGGUUAUGGUUGAGUUGGGACGAAGAGUGUACUUAUGAAAGAAUCCAAUCUGGUUUGAUGCUGUAGUCUAGAGUAAGAUGGUAAUUAAGCAAACAGAUACCAACUAACUAGUGCAGAAUUAAACUGUCCUACCAAAAAUCUGAGGCAUGAAAAUUGAUGCUGGAAGGAGGAGGAUGUCAAGAAUAAAAUAAGCAUGAAAGAGAAAGAAUGAUAAGGAGGGGGAGCUUCCCAAGAACAUUGAAGGUAACAUAUAAUUCACCUGCAAGACCGUCAAGAUGAAGCCUAAACUUUUACUAUUGUGACUGAUUAUAAUGGAAGAAAACUGUCAUUUGUGUAUUGUCGUAAAAAGUGUAUCAUUUGCUGGUCAUACAAUAUUCGGGAGUGGAUAAUUGUUUCAAAUUGUAUCUAACUUAUAUCCAGCGAUAUUGUCUAUAUUUGAUCAAUUUUUACAUG